rnacentral:rRNA from 1 species
UACGAAGGGUCCUAGCGUUGUUCGGAAUCACUGGGCGUAAAGCGCAUGUAGGUUGUUUAGUAAGUCAGGUGUGAAAUCCUUGGGCUCAACCCGAGAAGUGCAUUUGAUACUGCUGAACUUGAGUAUGUGAGAGGGUAGUAGAAUUCCUGGUGUAGUGGUGAAAUACGUAGAUAUCAGGAGGAAUACCGGUGGCGAAGGCGGCUACCUGGCACAAUACUGACACUGAGAUGCGAAAGCGUGGGGAUCAAACAGG